UACGUAGGGCGCGAGCGUUGUCCGGAUUUAUUGGGCGUAAAGAGCUCGUAGGCGGUUUGUCGCGUCGGUUGUGAAAUUUUAGGGCUCAACCCUGACAUUGCAUCCGAUACGGGCAGGCUAGAGUUCGGUAGGGGAGACUGGAAUUCCUGGUGUAGCGGUGGAAUGCGUAGAGAUCCGGAAGAACACCGGUGGCGAAGGCGGUCUGCUGGGCAGUAGCUGACACUGAGGCGCGACAGCGUGGGGAGCAAACAGG
rnacentral:rRNA from 1 species